rnacentral:rRNA from 1 species
UGCUACUGAUCUUAGCGGCGGACGGAGUGAGUAAUGCUUAGGAAUCUGCCUAUUAGUGGGGGACAACAUUUCGAAAGGAAUGCUAAUACCGCAACGUCCUACGGGAGAAAGCAGGGGAUCUUCGGACCUUGCGCUAAUAGAUGAGCCUAAGUCGGAUUAGCUAGUUGGUGGGGUAAAGGCCUACCAAGGCGACGAUCUGUAGCGGGUCUGAGAGGAUGAUCCGCCACACUGGGACUGAGACACGGCCCAGACUCCUACGGGAGGCAGCAGUGGGGAAUAUUGGACAAUGGGCGCAAGCCUGAUCCAGCCAUGCCGCGUGUGUGAAGAAGGCCUUAUGGUUGUAAAGCACUUUAAGCGAGGAGGAGGCUACUUUAGUUAAUACCUAGAGAUAGUGGACGUUACUCGCAGAAUAAGCACCGGCUAACUCUGUGCCAGCAGCCGCGGUAAUACAGAGGGUGCAAGCGUUAAUCGGAUUUACUGGGCGUAAAGCGCGCGUAGGCGGCUAAUUAAGUCAAAUGUGAAAUCCCCGAGCUUAACUUGGGAAUUGCAUUCGAUACUGGUUAGCUAGAGUGUGGGAGAGGAUGGUAGAAUUCCAGGUGUAGCGGUGAAAUGCGUAGAGAUCUGGAGGAAUACCGAUGGCGAAGGCAGCCAUCUGGCCUAACACUGACGCUGAGGUGCGAAAGCAUGGGGAGCAAACAGGAUUAGAUACCCUGGUAGUCCAUGCCGUAAACGAUGUCUACUAGCCGUUGGGGCCUUUGAGGCUUUAGUGGCGCAGCUAACGCGAUAAGUAGACCGCCUGGGGAGUACGGUCGCAAGACUAAAACUCAAAUGAAUUGACUGGGGCCCGCACAAGCGGUGGAGCAUGUGGUUUAAUUCGAUGCACGCGAAGA